rnacentral:lncRNA from 1 species
GAAAUCAAAUUGUAAUCAAGAAAUUUUCAAAAUUGAAAGUAUUGGUGAUGCUAGAGAGGAAUUAGCUUCACACGAAUGGGAGACUAAAUCAGCUAUGAAGAGAAAGAACCAAUGAAGGCAAUGCGCUUGUUGUAGGCUUCAAAAAGGCUGUUGACUUAUUGAUGUUUGAACUUGUCAACGAAGAGCCACAUCGAUGUGUGGUAUCCAUCGUGGGCAAGGGCGGCUUGGGUAAGACGACUAUAUCCUGGAAGCUUAUUGUCUAGGUGCCUAGAGUAAAUUUGACAACUAUCACGGAGAGAACCAUGUCAAUAUGUUCUUGUUCUUUACCUAAAUUCCAUGAAUUCACAUUUUGUUUUUAGUCCAAGAACGUCCAAUCUUGGUUCGAAGAACAUAUUAAAUACGAGCAACCUUCUUUGUAGUCUAUCUAGGUUAGUUUCCCUAACGUAAGCCCAUCUAGGGCACACCCUUUAUUUUAUUCUUUUUUCAUCUCUUCUCGCUCCCACAGUUCCCUUCAUCACAAUUGGUAAAGAGGUCAAGACUUGAACACUCCAAAUUUUGUGGCUAACUCAUUCACCUAAGAAACAAAGAGUAGAUUAACUUUUUCAUUGGAAAAUAGCCAACAGAAAAUAAUUGUCCAGGGAAAAAACAUAGGACAAAUGUGGCAGUAAUGGACACUCAUGUUCUGACGCCAAACAUAAAUGGAAUGAAAACUGAUAGUACAAGCAAAUCGAAAUUUCCAGCCUAAUACAUUCUCACAAAUACCCCACCCAAUUUUGUUAGCUGUUGCAGGGAGCCCAUCUCUGAUACAGAGAGAACGAUUACCUCUAUGUUCUGUACCGUAUUCCUGAAUUCCACGUUUUGUUUAGAUGCAAAGAAUGUAUAAUGUGAUUCCAAAAUGUUAUUGUCUGCAAAUUUACUGUCACCAUAUGCCUCUCCAAUCUGAUUUCUAAUCUAGUUAACAAUAAUAACAAAGGGGAACUUAUUUCAAUUUAAAGAAGAGAGAAUUGGUGUUUCUCAGCUGCAAUAACGAAAAUACAUAGAGUUCCUAUAUAUAGGCAAAAGACUAACAAACCCUUAAAUAGGGACAAAAGACAAUUUGCCCUCAUACAUUACUUUAUUUCCAACACUCCCCCUCAAGCUGAGGCGAAUAUAUAUAGACGAGCCCAGGCUGACAAGAGAUGGACUUCAGCAAUGAGGGUCAAUGGACUUAGUGAACAUAUCAGCAGUCUGAGCAGAUGAUGUGAAACAAGCUGGGCAUUGAUAACUCCUGAACGAACUUUUUCCCGAAUGAAUGAAUAUCGCUUCAAUGUGCUUAGUUCUUCAUGCAAAACCGAGUCAGAGGAAGCAUAAUAGAUGUGACUUAGGUCACAUAAAUACGUAAGAUGGUGUCACUGAGAAACCUAACUCGGUUAGAAGUGACCGAAAGCCCAAAGAUCUCGCUAGUUCCCUGAGCCAUGGACCCCCCCCCCCACAGGAUACUCAGCUUUGGCAGAAGAUAGAGAUCAAGAGACAAUGCUUGCCUUCUUACUUUUCCAAGAUAUGAGAUGAUACCAUGAACGGCACAGAAACCGAAGUAGAGCGUCUAUCACUCUAGAUCCGCAUAGUCAGCUCUGUAAAGUAUUGAAAUGAGACCCGACUGGACUCCGGAUUUAUAGAACAGUCCAAGACCAGGACAGGACUUAGGUAUCAGAGAAUGUGAUAACAGCAUCUCGAUAGAGGUACGCGGCGAAGUGCCAUAAACUGACUUACAAUACUGACAGCAAAUGUGAGAUCAGGUUUGUAUUCGUCAAGUAAAUGAGACGACCCACAAGUCGCUGAUAGAUAGAUGGAUCUGAUAAAAUCCUGCCUCGGCUGAUAUCUUCAAGUUCGGUACCAUAGGGUAGAUGCAGGUUACAUCCAAAGCAUGCCCGUUCCUGAAGAAGGAAAAAGAGAAUACUUCCGUUUGAGAUAGAGAGAUACCAUGGCGAGGACCCGAUUCAACCUUACAAUACAAGAAAGUACGAAGAGGACUAGAUCUUUAAUGUCAAAACACUUUCCCCCUGAGCCCACAUUGUCACCUGAACAAUGCCAAGCGUCGUCUCCCGUGAUAAUAAAUCAUCAACGUAAACUGAGAUAAUAAUGCACCUACCAUGAGACUGGCGACGAAAGAAAGCACGUAUGGAUCCGAGUGACACUCUUAAACCCCCUCGACAAGACUACUUCACUGAAACGGUGGAACCAAAAGACCGAGAGAGACUGCUUAGGCCAUAAUAGAUUUUUGGAAGGCCGACAAAACUUUCCCAUUUUUUUUUUUUUUUUUUUUUUUUUUUUUUUUUAUUUUUGAGUAACUCCCCCUGAGCCGAAACACCUGGAGGUGGAUCCUUAUAAUAUAGUCUCAGAGAGGUCACCAUUAAGGAAAGCAUUUUGACCUCCAAUUUGGUGAAGAGCCAUGAGUACAAUGCAGCGAGAGGAAACAAGAAUACGAAUGGUGUUAAUUUGGGCAACUGGAGCAAAAGUAGCACCAAAGUCCCUACCGGCGAAUUGCCGUAAUAGCCCAUAGCAACAAGAGAGCUUAUAUCGUCAAUGGCCAUCCGCCAAAUACUUGACAUGAACACCACUUACAACCAACAGUGCGCUUUCCCCUCGGCAAAAGCAAUAAGAUUCAAAGUACGAUUGUGUUGAAAGAGCCUCCAUCUCCGCCUUCAUAGCAGAACAUAGAGGAUUAUGGAGAGCUUCAUGGAUUGAGGAGGAAUCGAAAUCGAAUCAACUGACUAGAAAAAGGACUUAUAGGAAUCUGAAGACCGUGGUUAAGACAGAUAUGUGCAUAGGAUGAUUAGUACUAUGAAAAGAGAAAAGAAAAAGCGAGGGGUGGGGGGGGCCGACGCCACGCACGAGUGGGAUUAUCGCGGAGGGGGGAUUAUUGGGGGGAUCAGACACUAAGGAGAGACAUACCUGACUCAGAGGAAGAUUGCCGGCAAAGGGCGCAAUGAGCGCAAAAGGGACUGGGUUCUGAGAGUCGAUUGGCGGAGGGAGUCUUCGGUGUAGGUGGAGGAAGGCUCAAGUAUGGGAAGCGGAACGAGGAGGUAUAGGGGUUUUUAUCUGCCGCAAAAUACAAAGUCAGGACCUGGAGAAGGAGUAGAAUACAGAGAAAAAAAGGAAACAGUUUCCAAAAAAAAGUGACAUCUAACGACUGGCGAAAACAUAUGACGAGUGACAGGGUCAUAACACCUAUACCCCUUGGACAUGAGGAAUAUACCGAGGAAGAUACAACGUACAGCAUUAUCAUCCAAGUUGUCCGGGUGGGGCUCGAUUUUGGACCAAAAAAUGUGCCCCAAAGACGAGAGGAAUAAUGGGAAAAGGGUACUAGUCGGCGGAAGGAUAUGGCGAGGGAGCAUUGCCGUGGUAAGAUCGGGACUGGGGGUCGAUUAAUAAGGUAGGUAGCAGUGAGAACAGCCAUGUGCCAGAAAUACUAGAACUCAAUUACCACGCAAGAGACACCGAACCACUGACAUAAUAUGAGAUUUUUAUGCUAAGCUACCCAUUCCGCUCAGAAGUGUAAGACAGGAACAGUGAGUUGCUGGAGGAUACCACAUUUAUUACGUUUCAGCACAAAAAAUCAUUCGUGAUAUACUCCCGACCAUUAUUGACCGAAUGGUACGCCACAACAGUUUAUAUUGGGUUGAUCAUUUGUAAAAAAAUGGAAGAAAGUGAGGAAAAGACCUCAGAUGUAUUAAGCAUAAGAUAAACGCAAGUACAACGAGUGUAAUCAUCGAUGAAGGUUACAUAAUAGCCGGUGUUGAGAGAUUGAUAGCGGUAUAACUGGAGACGGACCCAUACACUGAGUGGCAAUAAGGUCAAAGGCACUUGGGGCACGAUACCUACGAGGAAUAUAAGAGGUUACGAUAUGUUUAGAUAACUCCACAAAUGGCACAUUUAAAUUAAGUUGUUGGCAAGCUUACUAAAAGAAGGAAAAAGACAACCUAAAUAUUGAAAGUUAACAUGCCCAAAAUAUAACGAGCAUGCCACAAAUCGACGGGGUCGGAAAAGAAAAAACAGACGAACUUUAACAAAAGAAGAACUAUAAACAGGGCCUCUAAACUGGUGAGAGAACACAUGAAGACUAGAAGACCAAUGCAAGUAGAUGGUAAAGGGAUCCCCAAGUAGUAUAAGUCCAUGCGCCUCAUACCCCUGCCAAAAACUACACUUGCGUCGAGUCAGUCCUGUAAGAGAGCCACAACGAAUGAUGGUAAGGAAACAACAGCACAAUAGAGUCUUUUGCAAGACGGACUAAACAGAAGAAGAUUAAGCAAAUGGGGUAUAUACAUACACGACUGAUGAAGGGUCAAUAUCUCAGAGGCUAAGCAGGCGUAGCCCUGAUCCGAAUGGGAAGUGGAUGAAUCGGAAUCAGCAAUACAAACCGCUGGAUAUAACAGACAGUAGUAAGAGGGAGAGGGGUAAAUGUAGCAAACUCCACAAGCAAUGUAUUAUUGCCCCCGACUCCAGAAUCAAGUGGGUGCACGUGACUUACCAUGAAGAAAGCGGUAGGAGUCUCUCAACUAUAGCGGCUGUGGCGGGCCAGAGGAUGGGAAGGUGGAUGGGAAGGUAGGAGCUAAUCCCAAAUGUGACUGUAGCUGAGCAAUCUGGAGCGGAGUUGUUUGAAGUCAGAUAAAUCAUAGGUAUGGAUUUCCACCCAGCAAUUAGCCCAGUCCGAGGGGUGCCUCUUUGACACGGCCUCUACUAAGUCCACCCCCACGCAGCCACCCCACGAGGCCGGGAAAAUUGCUGCUUCAACUCAGGAUGGAGAAUAUAAAAACAGCGGUCAAUGAAGUGACAGGGCUUACGACAAUGCUGACAAUAUAGGUGAGUCCCUGAAGAAGCAGCAAAAAGACCCUAUGGUCUGGAACCGUAAUAGGAGACUCAGCAAGAGAUGUAAAAAGACGACGCCUCCGCCUCAUCACCAUCCACAAUAGCAAACGCCUCAUAUAGGGAAGAGAGGCGAACUGUGUUCAAAAUUCUGAGGC